UUUUUUAAUUGAAAACUUGUAUGAAUGGUUUAACGAAAUAUUUUCUGUUUCAUAAAAAUUUAUAUAGAAAUUAAUUUUUUAAUUAAAAAGUUAAAAUAUAAUUAAAAGACGAGAAGACCCUAUAGAGUUUUAUUUAAAUUUAUUUAUAAAUUAUUUAUAAUAAUUAAAAUUUUAAUUUAAUUUAAAUUUUGUUGGGGUGACAAUAAAAUUUUAUUAUCUUUUAUUAUUUUUUUACAAUGAUUAUUGAUUAAUUGAUCCAUUUUUAAUGAUUAAAAGAUUAAAUUACCUUAGGGAUAACAGCGUAAUUUUUUUGAAGAGUUCAAAUCGAUAAAAAAUUUUGC
rnacentral:rRNA from 1 species